rnacentral:lncRNA from 1 species
AUACCAAACAAAACAGGAAAAAUAAACAUAGAAAGUGAAAUUAGAUUACGAUCAAGCCACCUACCACUUUUUUUUAUAAGUGGCAAAUUUAAUGAUGGACCUAAAACCCUUAACUCAGGUUAGCCUAUAGGUUAGAACAACAUUUAUAUUAAUCAGAAUUUCAACUUCAACUUGGUUAUCUUUUAUAUUAUGACUUGCUUUAACUUAUGUUAUUUUUCAAUUUAAACUUUCAAAUGUUGGGGAAACAUGCGUUAGCCCGGUGAUAAAAUAGAUACAGACAAUGUAAUUUUCAUCAAUCCUUUAUAAUAAUAUUACCAGAAACAAUAUCAUUAUUUUAUUUGCAACCCUCCGAAUCUAACCUUGCCAAAUCGUCAAAGCUUGGAGUGAACAAUAGUAUUAAUUAGUACUUCGACCAGUUGAAUUCACUCGCACAUGACAUCGAAAUAACACCCACACACACACGUGUCUCAUACAUGAUUCACUAUUCCAGAUAUGAAAGCAUAUUUUGUAGUUAUUGGCCAUUAUUGACUUGGAACAUAUCUAUGAGACAGCGAAUUAAAUUUCUUCAAAGAAGGCUGCUUUUACGUUUCCACUUCUUUUAUUCUUUCUCAAAAUCUUCCGUCAAUUAUGUGAGGCUAGUAAAAGCAAGGAAAGAUCAUUGAGCCUCACUUUCUUGUCUAAUUACAAAGUGGUUAAUUAAUUAAUUAAUUAAUUAUAUUCUAUUAUA